rnacentral:rRNA from 1 species
AUGGCUGUUGCUGUGCCGUCGACGCUGCCGAUGAAGCUUAGGAAGGUUGAGCUCCGUGGCAAGGCAGCGGCGACAGGGGUUGCCGGCCGCGCGCGCGUGCUGGUGACGGUUACCGUCCUCGGGAGCGCCGGCCCGCUACGGUUCUUGGUCGACGAGGGCGAGUCGGUCGACGGACUAAUCCGUGCUGCGCUCCGCUGCUAUGCCCGCGAGGGCCGCAUGCCGCUGCUCGGCUCCGACGCUGCCAACUUCCUCCUCUACACGGCCAAUGGCAGAUCCGACGCUCUCAAGUCCGAUGAGAGGAUCAGCUUCAAUGGAUGCAGGAGCUUCAUGCUCUGGCAGAAGACCGUCGCCGACAACCAUGGGUCUGAGCCGGCGGUGGCUACCACGGUUAAUUCCUGCCCAGGCAGGAAGGGGAUCAGCGGCUGGAAAUUUGGCCUGAACAAGAUCCUUCUCAACUUCAGCUUCAAGGAUCUUGUGAAUCAAAGAGGCCCUUACCCAACAUUGAGAAAACAAUCAUGUGUUUUGCGUCAAGGUCGUGGCUUCAGACAACCACAAAUAAAGAACAAUCAUGUGUUGUGCGUUAAGGUCGUGGCUUCAGAAAACCACAAAUAA